rnacentral:SRP_RNA from 1 species
AUGUGCAGCUGGGGAGUUAGCGGUGCCCUGUACCUGCAAUCCGCUCUAGCAGGAGUGAUAUCCGGCCCCGGGUCUUUCUUUGUAGGGCUGCCCUUUAUAAGUGGCGAUGACGUUUGGGUCUCGCGCAACAGGAAUUUAUGAAUCGUGUCAGGUCAGGAAUGGAGCAGCACUAAGUAAAACCUCCUGUGUGCCGUGAGGGUGCCUGGACUGAGUUAACUGUAGAGGUAACGCUUAUGAAGAGGAUUCAAAGCCGGAUGCACAU